rnacentral:misc_RNA from 1 species
GGUAGAGUACGCAUGAGGAUACAAUUAUCAAAUAGAAAAGGACAUAACCCUGAUUUUGGACCCAACAUUAUACUAAUCUACAGAGAGUUUAUGGAGGAAGGCAAGAAUUUCUUCUGAGACUUGUUGAGCUUUCUCUUGCUGGAUAAAAUGGUGACCAUCUAAAAUGACAACUUGAAGAUCUGGAACAAGGCUUUUGAAAGUGUCUCCUAAUACAUAUUCUCUUGUACCAUUAGUAUCAAAGCCAAUAUCUUUGUCACCAACUAUGAAUUUUGAUGGAACACUAAUCUUUGAUCCUUGCCAUAAAGCUCCCAAUUCAUGUCCAUAGCUCGGUAGUAGUUGAGAGGACCAGUGAAACCAGUUUCUUGAAACUUGUCUGCAUAAACCUGUAAUUCCUCUUCAGUAAUCCAUGGAGGCAACACGGAUGGUGUCUGCAAAUAGUCGAUGAUUUCCAUGUCCAGUGGAGCUACUAAAUUAUCAGUCUUAGUUAUCAACAAAAACUUCUUCAUCACAGUCAAAUAAUCAUAUCUGGCAAAUGCUUUCUCUGCUCUUCCAGGCUCCUGGAAUUGGCAUAUGUAAAGCCCAUCUCCAUAUAUUCUUCUAAAAGAUUCAAUAACUUUAGCAUCAGGAUUUCUUUGGUGGUAUGGAAUAGAAAUGGCUAUUAGUCCUUUGACUCUAUCAGGCCUGUGGAGGCUUAGAUGCCAAGCAAGAAGAGCCCCCCAGUCAUGUCCAACCAAAAAAGCCUGCUGUUCACCAAAAUGGUCAAUAAUGCCUACGAGAUCACCAAGAAGGUGAAAAAGAGUGUAGGAAUUGUAGGAGAGUGGAGAAUCUGAGUCUCCAUAGCCUCUCAAAUCAGGAGCAACAACAUGGUAGCCAUGGUUGACCAGGAAGGUGAUCUGGUGACGCCAAGAAUACCAAAAUUCUGGAAAACCAUGAAGGAGAAGCACUAGAGGUCCUGUGCCUUUCUCUACAACAUGCAAAAAUAUUCCAUUUGUUUUUAUUCUAUGGUGAUUUAAAUCUUCCAUUGUCCUCUUUCAGCUUUCUUCUGCACAAAUCUGAGAGAGAGAGAGAGAGAGAGAGAGA